rnacentral:rRNA from 1 species
AGUGAACGCUGGCGGCAGGCCUAACACAUGCAAGUCGAGCGGAUGACGGGAGCUUGCUCCUUGAUUCAGCGGCGGACGGGUGAGUAAUGCCUAGGAAUCUGCCUGGUAGUGGGGGACAACGUUUCGAAAGGAACGCUAAUACCGCAUACGUCCUACGGGAGAAAGCAGGGGACCUUCGGGCCUUGCGCUAUCAGAUGAGCCUAGGUCGGAUUAGCUAGUUGGUGGGGUAAUGGCUCACCAAGGCGACGAUCCGUAACUGGUCUGAGAGGAUGAUCAGUCACACUGGAACUGAGACACGGUCCAGACUCCUACGGGAGGCAGCAGUGGGGAAUAUUGGACAAUGGGCGAAAGCCUGAUCCAGCCAUGCCGCGUGUGUGAAGAAGGUCUUCGGAUUGUAAAGCACUUUAAGUUGGGAGGAAGGGCAGUAAGCUAAUACCUUGCUGUUUUGACGUUACCGACAGAAUAAGCACCGGCUAACUCUGUGCCAGCCGCCGCUGUAAUAA